CAAAACACAGACUGCUUUUAUUGUUGCCAACCAGUCCAGGGUCAGUGGUGACUGAGGACAGUAACCGGUCAGCUCAGGCCCACGUGUUGGUGUCCGUUGGAGUUGCUCCAACCACUGUUGAUGGCUGAAAGGUGGAUGUUCAUCCUUCCCUCUGCAAGCUGGUGAAGGAACAAGCGGGGACACCCCUUAGCCACAGCCGAGGUUAUGCUACAACAAAAAUCAUUAGCCUAAGUGAACCCAUAGUGUAGUACCAACAGACAGAACAUAGUAUUUUUAAGUCUUGUGAGUGAGAAAUUAAAUUUUUUCUCUUCUAUGAGAAGUCUGUGACGCUAAGUUAACAUUGCAAGGGUGAACAAAUCUCAUUUCAAAAAGUGGAGUUUCUAACAAGGCAAGUCAGCAUCCUCUGAUAAAACUGGAGUCCUUCUGCUGCAAUACAGAAUGUGAAAAAGAAACCAAAACCAAUAUAUUCUCGGAAAGAGAUGAAUUCCUCUCUAAUGUGUGGAAAACAGAAGAAAAUAAUGCUACAGAAGACUGGAAUAAAGGAAAUAAGGCUUUCCUUUAUGUGCCCAUUUAUGAGAGUAAUCCCUUCACUAGGAGAACUACAACCUUUGGACAAGGAAAAGCAGAGUUUUCACCCAUUACUUUUAGAAUAGCUGCUAAUAUAGUAAAAUUCAAAGUCAUGCAAGAUAGGGUCUUUACCUCAUUGACUGUUGCUUGCAGACCCAAUGUUUCUCUGGUGCCAUUGGAUCAUUAUAUUGUUACUGAUUGUGCUCCGCUACAACAGAGGCCGAUCACUCACCAGCUAGGUUCAGUUUUUUUAGAGGUCACAUCUUUCCUGUUGAUUCUAGGCAGAACUUUGCAGUCAGAAGAGCAGAAUAUGACCACUGGGAUGGAAAAAUGCAACAGUAGCUGGGAGAGAGAGGAGUGAGAAAAUAUGAGAGAAACAACCAGGCAGACAACCAGGUCAGUGCAGAAGGAGGGCAGGAGAGGCUCCAGGCACGCAGCAGAAGUUCCCCUGCGGCCUGUGGAGAGGCCCCUGGUGGAGCAGGCUGUCCCCCUGCAGCCCAUGGGUCCCACACGGAGCAGAUCUCCACGCUGCAGCCCGUGGAG
rnacentral:lncRNA from 1 species